rnacentral:misc_RNA from 1 species
UCAAACUUGGUCAUUUAGAGGAAGUAAAAGUCGUAACAAGGUCUCCGUUGGUGAACCAGCGGAGGGAUCAUUACAGAGUUAUCAUAAACUCCCAAAACCCUUUGUGAACGUUGCUGUUGUUGCCUCGGCGUGGGCGAGAGCUACCCUGGAGCUACCCUGUAGCCAUCCUGGAGCUCGCUGUAAGCCCCGCCGGAGGACCACUAAACUCUGGUUAAUAACUGUGUCUCUCUGAAUGCUUCAACUGAAAUCAGUUAAAACUUUCAACAACGGAUCUCUUGGUUCUGGCAUCGAUGAAGAACGCAGC